rnacentral:rRNA from 1 species
GACGAACGCUGGCGGCGUGGAUUAGGCAUGCAAGUCGAACGGUAGUAUACCUUCGGGUAUAUGAGAGUGGCGAACGGGUGAGUAACGCGUAGGUGAUCUACCUUCAAGUGGGGGACAACCCAGGGAAACUUGGGCUAAUACCGCAUGUGGCAGCAAUGCUAAAGCCGGCCUCUGAAUAUGCUGGUGCUUGGAGAUGAGCCUGCGUCUGAUUAGCUAGUUGGUGGGGUAAUGGCCUACCGAGGCGAUGAUAAGUAGGCGGCUUUAACGAGUGGUCGCCCACACUGGGAUUGAGAUACGGCCCAGACUCCUACGGGAGGCAG